rnacentral:rRNA from 1 species
UGGGGAAUAUUGCACAAUGGAGGGAACCCUGAUGCAGCGACGCCGCGUGAGUGAUGAAGGACUUCGUUUCGUAAAACUCUGUUCUAUGGGAAGAAAAGGACUGUACCAUAGGAGAAAGCGCCGGCUAAAAACGUGCCAGCAGCCGCGGUAUUACGUAGGGAGCGAGCGUUGUCCGGAAUUAUUGGGCGUAAAGGGUGCGCAGGCGGCUUUACAAGUUGGAUGUGAAAUACUGUGGCUCAACCACAAAAGUGCAUCCAUAACUGCAAAGCUUGAGUUAAGGAGAGGUAAGUGGAAUUCCUGGUGUAGCGGUGGAAUGCGUAGAUAUCAGGAGGAAUACCGAUGGCGAAGGCGACUUCCUGGACUUAAACUGACGCUCAGGCACGAAAGCGUGGGGAGCAAACAGG